UACGGGGGGGGCAAGCGUUGUUCGGAAUCACUGGGCAUAAAGCGCACGUAGGCGGCUGGGUCCGUCCGAUGUGAAAGCCCCCGGCUCAACCGGGGAAUUGCAUCGGAUACAGCCCGGCUUGAGGACGGUUGGGGUGAGUGGAACUCCUGGUGGAGCGGUGAAAUGCGUAGAUAUCAGGAGGAACACCGGUGGCGAAGGCGGGUCUCUGGGCAACAACUGACGCUGAGGAGCGAAAGCGUGGGGAGCGAACAGG
rnacentral:rRNA from 1 species